CCAAAAUCAGAGCAUCUCUGCACUUGCCUGGCGUCGAGCCCCACGUGCAAUACCUGACCUGAACGUUUUGUUCGUUCGGCUCGCGUUAGGCAGGUCCAGCCCAUCUGCGAGCGCAGGG
rnacentral:pre_miRNA from 12 species